GGGUUGUGAGGUUAAGCGACUAAGCGUACACGGUGGAUGCCCUGGCAGUCAGAGGCGAUGAAGGGCGUGCUAAUCUGCGAUAAGCGCCGGUAAGGUGAUAUGAACCGUUAUAACCGGCGAUACCCGAAUGGGGAAACCCAGUGUGAUUCGUCACACUAUCAUUAACUGAAUCCAUAGGUUAAUGAGGCGAACCGGGGGAACUGAAACAUCUAAGUACCCCGAGGAAAAGAAAUCAACCGAGAUUCCCCCAGUAGCGGCGAGCGAACGGGGAGGAGCCCAGAGCCUGAAUCAGCAUGUGUGUUAGUGGAAGCGUCUGGAAAGGCGCGCGAUACAGGGUGACAGCCCCGUACACAAAAGCGCAUGUGCUGUGAGCUCGAUGAGUAGGGCGGGACACGUGGUAUCCUGUCUGAAUAUGGGGGGACCAUCCUCCAAGGCUAAAUACUCCUGACUGACCGAUAGUGAACCAGUACCGUGAGGGAAAGGCGAAAAGAACCCCGGCGAGGGGAGUGAAAAAGAACCUGAAACCGUGUACGUACAAGCAGUGGGAGCACCCUUUUGGGUGUGACUGCGUACCUUUUGUAUAAUGGGUCAGCGACUUAUAUUCUGUAGCAAGGUUAACCGUAUAGGGGAGCCGGAGGGAAACCGAGUCUUAAUUGGGCGUUAAGUUGCAGGGUAUAGACCCGAAACCCGGUGAUCUAGCCAUGGGCAGGUUGAAGGUUGGGUAACACUAACUGGAGGACCGAACCGACUAAUGUUGAAAAAUUAGCGGAUGACCUGUGGCUGGGGGUGAAAGGCCAAUCAAACCGGGAGAUAGCUGGUUCUCCCCGAAAGCUAUUUAGGUAGCGCCUCGUGAAUUCAUCUCCGGGGGUAGAGCACUGUUUCGGCUAGGGGGCCAUCCCGGCUUACCAACCCGAUGCAAACUGCGAAUACCGGAGAAUGUUAUCACGGGAGACACACGGCGGGUGCUAACGUCCGUCGUGAAGAGGGAAACAACCCAGACCGCCAGCUAAGGUCCCAAAGUCAUGGUUAAGUGGGAAACGAUGUGGGAAGGCCCAGACAGCCAGGAUGUUGGCUUAGAAGCAGCCAUCAUUUAAAGAAAGCGUAAUAGCUCACUGGUCGAGUCGGCCUGCGCGGAAGAUGUAACGGGGCUAAACCAUGCACCGAAGCUGCGGCAGCGACGUUUAUGUGUUGUUGGGUAGGGGAGCGUUCUGUAAGCCUGCGAAGGUGGCCUGUGAGGGUUGCUGGAGGUAUCAGAAGUGCGAAUGCUGACAUAAGUAACGAUAAAGCGGGUGAAAAGCCCGCUCGCCGGAAGACCAAGGGUUCCUGUCCAACGUUAAUCGGGGCAGGGUGAGUCGACCCCUAAGGCGAGGCCGAAAGGCGUAGUCGAUGGGAAACGGGUUAAUAUUCCCGUACUUGGUGUUACUGCGAAGGGGGGACGGAGAAGGCUAUGUUGGCCGGGCGACGGUUGUCCCGGUUUAAGCGUGUAGGCUGGUUUUCCAGGCAAAUCCGGAAAAUCAAGGCUGAGGCGUGACGACGAGGCACUACGGUGCUGAAGCAACAAAUGCCCUGCUUCCAGGAAAAGCCUCUAAGCAUCAGGUAACAUCAAAUCGUACCCCAAACCGACACAGGUGGUCAGGUAGAGAAUACCAAGGCGCUUGAGAGAACUCGGGUGAAGGAACUAGGCAAAAUGGUGCCGUAACUUCGGGAGAAGGCACGCUGACACGUAGGUGAAGUGAUUUACUCAUGGAGCUGAAGUCAGUCGAAGAUACCAGCUGGCUGCAACUGUUUAUUAAAAACACAGCACUGUGCAAACACGAAAGUGGACGUAUACGGUGUGACGCCUGCCCGGUGCCGGAAGGUUAAUUGAUGGGGUCAGCGCAAGCGAAGCUCCUGAUCGAAGCCCCGGUAAACGGCGGCCGUAACUAUAACGGUCCUAAGGUAGCGAAAUUCCUUGUCGGGUAAGUUCCGACCUGCACGAAUGGCGUAAUGAUGGCCAGGCUGUCUCCACCCGAGACUCAGUGAAAUUGAACUCGCUGUGAAGAUGCAGUGUACCCGCGGCAAGACGGAAAGACCCCGUGAACCUUUACUAUAGCUUGACACUGAACAUUGAGCCUUGAUGUGUAGGAUAGGUGGGAGGCUUUGAAGUGUGGACGCCAGUCUGCAUGGAGCCGACCUUGAAAUACCACCCUUUAAUGUUUGAUGUUCUAACGUGGACCCGUAAUCCGGGUUGCGGACAGUGUCUGGUGGGUAGUUUGACUGGGGCGGUCUCCUCCUAAAGAGUAACGGAGGAGCACGAAGGUUGGCUAAUCCUGGUCGGACAUCAGGAGGUUAGUGCAAUGGCAUAAGCCAGCUUGACUGCGAGCGUGACGGCGCGAGCAGGUGCGAAAGCAGGUCAUAGUGAUCCGGUGGUUCUGAAUGGAAGGGCCAUCGCUCAACGGAUAAAAGGUACUCCGGGGAUAACAGGCUGAUACCGCCCAAGAGUUCAUAUCGACGGCGGUGUUUGGCACCUCGAUGUCGGCUCAUCACAUCCUGGGGCUGAAGUAGGUCCCAAGGGUAUGGCUGUUCGCCAUUUAAAGUGGUACGCGAGCUGGGUUUAGAACGUCGUGAGACAGUUCGGUCCCUAUCUGCCGUGGGCGCUGGAGAACUGAGGGGGGCUGCUCCUAGUACGAGAGGACCGGAGUGGACGCAUCACUGGUGUUCGGGUUGUCAUGCCAAUGGCACUGCCCGGUAGCUAAAUGCGGAAGAGAUAAGUGCUGAAAGCAUCUAAGCACGAAACUUGCCCCGAGAUGAGUUCUCCCUGAGACUU
rnacentral:rRNA from 1 species